UACGAAGGGGGCUAGCGUUGCUCGGAAUCACUGGGCGUAAAGCGCACGUAGGCGGAUUGCUAAGUCAGGGGUGAAAUCCUGGAGCUCAACUCCAGAACUGCCUUUGAUACUGGCGAUCUCGAGUCCGGGAGAGGUGAGUGGAACUGCGAGUGUAGAGGUGAAAUUCGUAGAUAUUCGCAAGAACACCAGUGGCGAAGGCGGCUCACUGGCCCGAUACUGACGCUGGAGGAGACGAAAGCGUGGGGAGCCGAACAGG
rnacentral:rRNA from 1 species